rnacentral:rRNA from 1 species
GACGAACGCUGGCGGCGUGCCUAAUACAUGCAAGUAGAACGCUGAAGCGAGGAGCUUGCUCUUCUUGGAUGAGUUGCGAACGGGUGAGUAACGCGUAGGUAACCUGCCUUGUAGCGGGGGAUAACUAUUGGAAACGAUAGCUAAUACCGCAUAACAAUGGAUGACACAUGUCAUUUAUUUGAAAGGGGCAAUUGCUCCACUACAAGAUGGACCUGCGUUGUAUUAGCUAGUAGGUGAGGUAAUGGCUCACCUAGGCGACGAUACAUAGCCGACCUGAGAGGGUGACCGGCCACACUGGGACUGAGACACGGCCCAGACUCCUACGGGAGGCAGCAGUAGGGAAUCUUCGGCAAUGGGGGCAACCCUGACCGAGCAACGCCGCGUGAGUGAAGAAGGUUGUCGGAUCGUAAAGCUCGGUUGUAAGUCAAGAACGGGUGUGAGAGUGGAAAGUUCACACUGUGACGGUAGCUUACCAGAAAGGGACGGCUAACUACGUG